GAAGCCCUAGAGUACAUCUGAGGUCCACUAUUUGAGAAAUGCUGUCUGAAAGAGUGAAGUCAGUCUAUGAAAACAUCUCUCAAAUGUGAGUCAUCUCUGCAGAUGAGAGCCUGGCUUGGUAGCUGGGCUGGGCUUCCUUCUCAUCAGAGCUUAGUGAACUCAGACAUCACUGUUGGACUCCUUGAAAAGAGAUGAGGACAGAAGGUGCCUGGAAGCAGCCCCUGAAACCAGCUGGAAGUCUGACCCUGCAAGGGCUUCCUGGCUGCUAAACUCGGCUGACACUUUUGGAUCUCCUAAGUGAUCACUCUGCAGCAGCCGGCCGCUCACCAUCCCCGCUUCUCUACCGUGACACAUAGCCCCUGGCUUCCUCACUGCUCUGGCCGCUCCUCUUCAGCUUGCAUCAUGAGGAUUCCAUUCUCGGCACCCGUCCCUUCCUCUUCUUCGUGCUCCCCCCUGAGUAAAUGUGACCGUCCCCAUGGUCUGGCUCAUUUUGUUAUUACUUCCUAAGUAUCUCCCUGAAAACAAGUGUUUCCUCCUGAGUUCCAGACUGGUGCAGCUAGAUGAUUGUACUUUUCACGAUGCGGUGAGCCUCUGGAGGGGAGAGAUCGUAGGAUCCUGUCCAGUGCCUGGCACACGUAGGCAUUUAGCAAGUAUUUGAUAAAUGAAAAAAGUGGAACAAGAGCUACCAUCUCAUGAUCAUUCAAGAGCUCUUUGUAUCAGGUGAGAUGUGUACAUCUCAGGGAAUGCCAGAGGGGUGAUUCAUAAAGCCAAAAGUUAUUAGAGUCAGAGGAGGUUUAAGACCAUCUCCAACCAAACCUCUUAUUGUGCUCAAAAGGAAACUGAGGUCCAGCAGGGAUAAGACACUUGUUCAAGAUCACACAGCAAAUUUCGGACAGAGUACCUCCCCAGCUCACAUAGGAAGGGGCACCUUGGGGUAUUCCCUCCCAGGAUGAUCCUGCAGGAGUGAAAGAUAGGAAGGUAGGAUGGGCAUGGUACAUACGUGGGGCCACGACAAAUGUGAACUCAAAUGUAUGUCUGGAAAGUUCGAAGGCAUAAUGCCCUACGCGAAUCUUACUCGAUUGUUGUCUGAUCCAACACACCGGUGACUGGGAUCCCAUAAAACUGCUGCAUAGUGGAGACUGCUGACUGUAAGACCUUCCCUGAGUGCAGCGCGGGUGCCCGUGAGUCAUAGGGAAGCAGAUAGCCAUAUGACUUUAACCAGUUCUGAAAGACACAUGAAAGAGAAGGAUGCAUUAUGCUGGAGAAGGCUCUGUUCCACCUAGGUGGAGAUUUGCCCUUGAAACUAGGGAUCAUUUUACCGAAGGGACCUGUGGACUCAUGCUCCGAUUGCUUCCCCCUUCAUUCCUUCCUGCACACACUGGCAAAUAAUCUCCAGAAAACCCAGCUCUUGUUGGCUUUCUCCCUUGCUAUAAAGCUUUCAUUGGAUCUCUACUGGCUACAGAAUAAAGAUCAAAUUUGCAUUCAAGGCUUUCCAGGACCCUGCCUCUUUACUCAUUUAUACAGUGGCUUCCACUGAUAUGUGACUAGACAUGCAAGAACACAAGAAUGGUUCCUUCUCUGAAGCAGAGUGACCUGGUAAAAUGGGCCACCCAGAAACCAUCGUGUCUAAAGUCAGAGCCUGCUGAGGAAUCAUGCUGUAGAAUAUUUACUGGCAUGAGAUUAUAUACAGUCUAUUGCUAACUCCUCCAAAAGAGCAAGCCAUUAUAAGUAUAUAUAAAUAAUGCAUUACUUAAUUUAAAUAUAAGUACAUAAAUGUAUGCAUAGAAAAAAGCAUAGAAGGGCACACAUGGAAAUAAAAAAAAAUAAUAGUAUGGUUAUGUAAAAGAAUUUCUUGUUUUUAGAAAAUACACACUGAGGUGUUUUGGCUUAUAUAAUGGUGCACAAUGCCUGCAACUUUUUCUUAAACAUAUUCAGAAAAGAGAGAGAGAGAUGGAGAGGGAGAGGAGAGAGGUGAGAGAGAAGAAACAAAUGUAGUAAAAUGUUAGGAACUGGGGAAUACAGGUGAGGAGUGUUCAGGAAUUCUUUGUCCCAUUCUUGAAAACUUUUCUGAAAGUCUGAAGUGAUGUCAAAAUAUUUUUUUAAUAAAAAAAUAAUUAACCAUGAAUAGCCUUUGUUAUAGUAUCAUGGGGGAGAAUUUCUGUUUUCUAAGUUUUACGCAUGGAGUCAUUUAAAAAAGGGAGGAAAAUUUUCAAAGGGCAAGAGCAUCUGAAAGUAGUUUGGAUGAAAAAGCUCACACAGACAAUGGCUCUGAAGGACAGCAAAGCAGAGAUGAUUAUUCCCACUGACAAGCAUGAGGGAAGCCUGAAGAAACCAGAGCAUGAGGAAAUAUAUGUGGCAUCAAUUGGAAAAUGAAGAAAACCUCCAUGGGUCUACUGAACCCACAAGCUUUUACAGAAACACUCCUACAUGCUGGUCUCUGAGCCAGAUAGAAGCUGUGGCCCAUCCUCAGAGGAUUAUCCUGAACACCAAGUGAUUUAAUGAAGGAGAAAGAACUUAGUAAGCGAUAUUAUUCCCUUUGUAAUUUUUGCUUGUUUCUAUAUGAACAAGUCUUAUUGUGGAUGUGUCUGUUAUUACAAGUCAAAGCAAACCAUUUUGGGAAGGAAGUAGACCAGAAACUAUAAAUAAGUUAUUAUUUAUUUCAUCUAAGGUGACUAACAUCUUUACUGCCUUGUGAUAAAAUGCAUUUGACUGAUUAAAAAUAAAACACAACACUAAAGCCUUAA